CAAAUAAUAAAAACAAAUUUAUGGUUGUGCCAUGGAAGCUUCCACAAGUGUUAUAGUACAAUCAGUAAGGGAAAAUCUUGAGAAAAGUGUCCUAAGCAAACUUGAUAUAAAUAUUCAAUUCUCUUUCUGUUACGUAGAUGAUUGCAUUACUGCCGUACUAAAAAAUCAAAUUAAAAACAUAAAUAGAAAGUUCAAUAAUUAUCAUAAAAAACUCAAUUAGAAUCGAAUAGAAUAAUAAAAUCAAUUUUCUUGAUGUCCUAUGUCACAAAAAAUAUCAGUAAUAAUAAGUUUGGCUGAUAGAUCCAUCCAACUAUCAGAUCCUGAGUUUAGAUGCUUAGCUAUUCAAAAAGCAUAAACUGUAUUAAAAGAAAAUAAUUAUCCAGAAAAAAUGAUAAACCACAUAUUAAAAAAAAAGAUAAACAGAUACUAGAUUCGAUUGAAAAAGAAAACAGAAACGAAACAUCAGAACAUAAAAGAUUUCUCUUUACCAUAUGUACAAGGACUUUUCCAACAACUAUCGCAUUAUUUCAAUAAAUAUGAUAUUAGUAUAAGUCAUAGAGGACAUAAUAUAUUAUCCAAAUAUUUCACUAAAUCAAAAUCUAAAACACCAAAAAAUAAAAGGAGUACUAUUAUAUAUCAAGUGCCUUGUACUAAUUGUGAUGCUAUCUACAAAAGACAGACAUCUCAGUAUUUGGAAAAUAGACUAAAAGGUCAUCAAUACGAUAAAAAAAUAAAGUUGCAUUAACGUAACACGAAAUAUCAAAAAAAAAACAAAUUCAAUUAUAAAGAUCUGUGCUCUGUGUAUGAGUGUGUGUGUAUAUACGUAAUGAAAAAAGCCGGUAUGGCGCUAACCACAUCUGCUUUGGUGUAAGGAGUGUUUCUACAUAUAAAUAGAUAUAAUAUGGGUUGAAAUACAUUGCUUAAAGGUUGAACAACAUAAAUAGUAUUCUAAAACAUGCGAUCUUGAUUUUAAUGCUACAAAUGUUUUCUUAACUUGCUAAAUGCUUAAACUCUUAUUUUAUAGAAUUUUAAACAAUAAGGAGUAGUUGUCACCUUUUACUAUAAUAUGAAUAUAUUGACAUAAGAUAGAUUUUAAAGUGAAGGGUGAAUGGAACUUAUUCAUGCAAUUCCAUGCGUCUUGAUGAAAUUCUGAGGUGAUACCAUAUUUUUACCGUCGUUCACUGAACUAUAGUUUAUUUUCUAAAGUUGUGUAGCUGACAUCGGUUAAAAUAACUUUGAGUGUAUACACGUUUUCAUAAAUAUUAUGUUCUUAAAUAAAUAGUAUAAAAAUUAACGGCGACAUGAGUGUAACAAGUUAUCUUUACGUAAGCAACUUUUCUUAAGGGCACUGAUAAAUUCCAUCUUAUUUGUAAAUAUUUUAAUUUUCUAUAAAACGAAAUUACUUUUUUCCAUAUGUAAGGAAAGGUACUUUGAAACACAUGUGUUGAAAAGUAUGGGGACAGUUAACGUAACCUUUACAUAGCAAAAUCAAUAUCAAAUCUUCUUAAAUUGUGUUUUAAAUGUCCAUAAUUUUUCUAGUUCAUAUACUUUUCCACACAUGUGCGGAUAUAUUUCUGUAUAUACGGGUGAAAUUUAGUGUUUUUUAAAGAUGAAAACGUUAAAAUCAAUCAUUUUGGUAUGUGGUCGUAAGAAAAUAAAUAUUUUCUUUGUAAUGGUGGAUAAAAGUUUGAUAUAAUAGCUGUUUUCCAUUUACACCAGAACUCAGAUGCACGUUCCUUUUCAGUGUCACAAGUGAGACCUAACUAAGUUUUUACCCGCAAUCUGCACAAGCUUGAGACUGUGUGCUUUAGUGUUCUGUGAACACAGAUUGAAAAUGAGGUUGAGGACACGUUAUCAGAUCUUUUAGAUAGAUUAGAUUCUUUUGCUGCGGGUAUCACACCGUUGGAUUACCAAUGAUUUUGGUGAAUUUAAUGUGGAAGACACCGAGCAAAAUAUAGAAUAUGGUUACCAAAUAAUUCAAUUAGUUUGUACUCAAACAAUAAACUCUAUUUUAAAAAACAAGGAAAUGAAAACGUUGAAAAACCUAUGGAGGUUAUUGAUAUAAGCCUCGAAUUUAAUGAAACAAGUAGAAGUGCUAUCGAAAAUUCAAAACAUUUGGACCAAUUGGAAGGAGCAAGUAGUGGGAGCAUAAUUGAAAAUGUACACUUCAGACUAAACAAAAUAUUUCUGUUGUAAAAGUCAGUAUAAGCUAUAUAACACUGUUGUACCGAACAAACGAUGUUGGGAUAGUUAAUUUGUAGUUUGACUCAGUAAAUUUAUUUUUUAAAAA